rnacentral:rRNA from 1 species
GACGAACGCUGGCGGCGUGCUUAACACAUGCAAGUCGAACGGAGCGAAUGAAAGCUUGCUUUUAUGAGCUUAGUGGCAAACGGGUGAGUAACACGUAGACAACCUGCCGACAGGAUGGGGACAACAUUCCGAAAGGAAUGCUAAUACCGAAUGAAGCGGAGGAGAGGCAUCUCUCUUCCGUGAAAGAUGGCCUCUGAACAUGCUAUCACCUGUCGAUGGGUCUGCGUCUGAUUAGCUAGUUGGUGAGGUAACGGCUCACCAAGGCGACGAUCAGUAGCCGGUCUGAGAGGAUGAACGGCCACAUUGGGACUGAGACACGGCCCAGACUCCUACGGGAGGCAGCAGUGGGGAAUCUUCCGCAAUGGGCGCAAGCCUGACGGAGCAACGCCGCGUGAGUGAAGAAGGUCUUCGGAUCGUAAAGCUCUGUUGACGGGGACGAACGUGCGAAGGGUGAAUAAUCCUUUGC